UUUGAAGCUCGGGAAGUUGAACCGGAAGGAGCCAGUCUCAAAUAGUUAACAAAUGCAUUAUUACUGUUUUAUAUGACGCUGUCCUUAGAAAGAAGAGUGCACUGAGUGACCAUUUGUUAAAUGGAGAAAACUAGGGACAAAGUCCUUGGAGACUCAAACUGAACCCAUCUUGGGAUUUGGGUGGAUGUCCUUGCAGUCUUUUUUUUUUUUCUGUCCUCAGGGAUAUUGGCGUCGUUUUUUCAUACUGUAUUUACAGUCAAUGUCUUGCUUUUCUCUCAACAUCGUAGAAGCAUCUUGUGGUGUUGCUAUUAGUCAUUCCCCUUUUAAAGGCUGCAUAGUGUUACAAGUGAGGGAUGGGCGGUGAUGGGCGCCAUUCUGAACCUCAGAGGAAGGAAGGGAGGGGAGAUGGAGGUGGUAUAGAAAGCUAUCUUUGGGGCUCAGAGGUCGGGAGCUCUACCCCCUACAGUGGGAUCUGGGGAAAGUGCCCCUUGCUCUGAGGAGUUGAGGCAGAGUGAUUUUCCCAGGUGUGUGAGGCUUAAAGGACUAAUUUAAACGGAACAGAAUAGGCACUGUUUGUUUGGGCCUGGACCAAGAGAGGUGCUGAGGAGAGGGAGAAAUCCCAGAAUGGGGGGUGGGGGGAGUGUCUCUGGUCUGGAACAAAUGGGCAGGCCCCAGGAGGGACAGUGCAGAUCGGGGCAGACACAGUGUCCCAGGAGGCAGGGCCAGUGAUCACGAGGCAUGUGGAGUCAGCCUCUUGGUAUGAGGCUAAGGAAGAGUUUCGGAGUGGAAGAAAAGGAAGUAGAGGAGGGAAGAGUUUGUAAUCAACUCCUGGGAGGAUGAGGACUCAGAGGAGAAGACUUGAUCAAGAUACACAUGGGCAGGAUGGUACAGGGACACAGCUACCUGAGUGUUCACCAGCGUCGCUGGGGAGUGGACUUUUGGUGUCAAGAAGGGCAAGGGGACUCACAUACUGGGGCAGGUCCCCACUGACAAGGUGGGUCUGUAGAAGCACAUUGGCCUUUUGUAGUUUUCCUGAAUGUAAACUCAGCUCUCUGAACCUUGACCUUCCAUAUACAGGGUGGGGGGGUACCUUCUACCCAUAA
rnacentral:lncRNA from 1 species